UGCAAGCGCGUGCGAUUAUCCGUCAUGGCGCCUUCUGUGCGUCAACGUAAUCAGCUAAUUGGGAAAAGAGAACAGAAAAAGUUAAGUGGUAGAAAACCGUCAGGACUGGGGAGGACUGAAGAAGUUUCUUCAGUUCCGAAUCCAGCAGACAUAGGAAUUGUUUAUCCAAGUGGCGAUACAGCCUUCAAAGCGUUGUUGUCAGCACGAUUUUGUGCAGCAAUAUGGAAUUACAUUUCUGACUGUGAUGAAACAUUUAAUUAUUGGGAACCAAGUCAUUAUUUGCUGUUUGGUAAGGGAUUUCAGACAUGGGAAUAUAGCCCAGAAUAUGCUCUUCGCUCAUAUACAUAUCUGUUGAUUCAUGUGGUCCCUGCAUGGCUAUACCAUCAACUUCUCCAGCCAAACAGGCUUCUUAUUUUCUACUUUUCACGUUGUCUACUUGGUCUGCUCUGUGCUUUAUGUGAAGUCUAUUUCUACAAGAGUAUCUGUCGUGAGUUUGGAGUUCAAGUUGGUCGUUUAGCUUUGGCAUUUCUUGUAUCUAGUGCUGGGAUGUUCAUAUCAAGUACAGCUUUCCUGCCUUCAUCAUUUUCCAUGUAUAUGUGCCUGGUAUCCCUUGGAGCAUGGUAUAAUAGAAAAUAUGAACUUGCCAUAUUUACCACUGCACUCUCAACAUUUCUGAGCUGGCCUUUUGCUGUGUUGAUAGGAGUUCCCAUAGCAGUUGACAUGCUUUUCCAGAGAAGGGAAAUUAUCAAAUUCCUCCAGUGGAGUGUAAUAUCUGUAGUAGUUAUUCUUUUACCCAUGGUAAAAUUAGACUCCUCAUACUUUGGUCGUUUGGUGGUGGCUCCAUUCAACAUAGUGUAUUACAAUGUAUUCACGUCUCAUGGACCAGAUUUGUAUGGCACUGAACCGUUCCAUUUCUACUUCAUUAAUGUGUUUCUUAAUUUCAACUUGGUCUUUGUUGCUGCUUUAUUAACACCUGUCAUGUUGAUGAUGGUUGCAUGGCUGGUGCCUUCAAAACCACGUAAUCCUGCCUGUUUUCCAUAUUGGUUAUCUCUCAUGCCACUUUAUCUGUGGGGUGCUGUAUUCUUCGUUCAGCCUCACAAGGAGGAACGGUUCCUGUUCCCAGUGUACCCCCUGAUCUGCUUGUGUGGUUCUAUCACAGUAGAUGCCAUUCAGAAACUUUGGUUCUGCUUCUGUGUGCGAGAUGUUGAAAGAGGAACUCAUUAUGUAACUCAUACUGCUCCAAUUAUGGUUUUGGCGAUUCUCACCUGUUCUUUUCUGAGUGUUGCAAGGAUACUUGCUAUCUACAAUGGGUACCAUGCCCCUUUGGAUCUGUUUAUGGAGCUCAACAAUUUAACUACAGAGAGGAAACUGCCAUCAGACCAAAGCAUUAAUGUAUGCAUUGGCAAGGAAUGGUACCGUUUUCCAUCAAGUUUCUUUCUGCCUGAUAAUCGAUGGCAGUUGCAGUUUUUGAAAUCUGAGUUUCGUGGACAGUUACCACAACCAUACAGUUCUCUGCCAAAUGCAACAUCAAUUAUACCUCCACACAUGAACAGUGGAAACAGGGAAGAGACCAGCAGAUAUUUUGACAUAGAGCGCUGCCAUUUUCUGGUGGACCUGGAUUUAGGUGUCACUACAGAGUUUGAACCUAACUAUGCCCAACAGACUGACAGAUGGGCUGUAAUUAAGUCUAUUCCAUUCUUAGAUGCUGCAAGGUCUCACACAUUUUUCCGAGCUUUUUACAUUCCUGGCAUUUCAAGCAAGUUCUGCAGCUAUGCCCCUUAUAAUCUUCUUCAGUCAACCAAGUUUAAGUGGGGCAAGAAGGAACCUUUGCCAACAAGAUAGGUGAGGUUAACUCAUUGGCAGCAUAUUUUCCAGUCACCAGAAGUUGUGUGGGGUCAUGCAGAUCUGAAUUAUACGUGAGAAAAUUAUGUGAGAGAAACUGAAUGGUAAUUUCGGAUGGCAAAAGAGCACAUUUAACAUCCAGUUGUGUGCAGCAUUCAUGUUUAUACCUGUCUGUUGAGCAUGGCUCAGUAACAUAACUAAAUAUUUUUUUGGAACUUGUAUUGUUAACAAGUAUUUAUAUUUUGUACAAAAACCAACCAAAACCAUUUCCAUGUAAGUAUUUGUGUUAUAUUGUGAUCAAGAAAGUGUUACUUCUAUGAACUGAAAUUAUUUUUUGUGAUAGUCACAAAAGUUGCUGUUUAAUUCAACAGGGUUUGUAAAGAACAAUGAGUGCUGCUCUUGUUUUAGAAAUCUGCAAAAGAAUUUAGGAUGUAAUAGGCCUUUCAUCACAAUUUAUGUUACUUUGUUUGAAUGUUUCAUGUCUUAUAUUUAGAUCUCAGCAUUUAUAUACAACAAACAGUAAAAUGCAACAUGUAAAUACAAUAUUACACACCAAUAGAUGAUAAAAACAAAAAGGGUUUAUAAACUGUAAUGGGCCAGAUUUACUAGAUGUUACAAAAUCUUAAUUCUGGUCAUGUUAUUAAUUAAAGGAUAGUUCUUUCAGAUUAGAUCCCAAAGAAUAUAAAAUACAGAUUCUAUGUACCAUAUAUUGGUAAUGAAAAUUAAUAUUUUAAUUGUUAUCCAUAAAUAAAUAUAAAGAUACAGUUAGACAGGACAUCACCCUGGAUUGAUGUGGAUGCUUUAAAACAGAAAGUGGUGGUCAAUUGGUCACCAAAGAUCAUAGCAAUAAAAUUUAUAAUUUACAUAUGUUUUCAGGCACCAUGAGAAACCAGAAGUGCACAGUUAAAAAAAACUUCAGUUUCCAUGGUAAUGGAAUAUCUGAUGUCUUUAUCUUUCAUCUUCUGCUCUGGACCUUCAUUUGUCAAAUGAAUGAUUUGUACAUCAUAAUGGCCUUGGGAAAACUACAGCAAGUUGAACAUGAAGAUAGAACAUUAAAUACCAAUUAUUAAAACUAA